AACGAACGCUGGCGGCAGGCCUAACACAUGCAAGUCGAGCGAGGACUUCGGUCCUAGCGGCGGACGGGUGAGUAACGCGUGGGAACGUGCCCUUUGCUUCGGAAUAGCCCUGGGAAACUGGGAGUAAUACCGGAUGAGCCCUUUGGGGGAAAGAUUUAUCGGCGAAGGAUCGGCCCGCGUUGGAUUAGGUAGUUGGUGGGGUAAUGGCCUACCAAGCCGACGAUCCAUAGCUGGUUUGAGAGGAUGAUCAGCCACACUGGGACUGAGACACGGCCCAGACUCCUACGGGAGGCAGCAGUGGGGAAUCUUAGACAAUGGGGGAAACCCUGAUCUAGCCAUGCCGCGUGAGCGAUGAAGGCCUUAGGGCUGUAAAGCUCUUUCAGCUGGGAAGAUAAUGACGGUACCAGCAGAAGAAGCCCCGGCUAACUCCGUG
rnacentral:rRNA from 1 species